GGCGCCUCAAGUGGUAGUCGCUUUUAUUGGGCCUAAAACGUCCGUAGCCGGUCUGGUGCAUUCGUGGGUAAAUCAACCCGCUCAACGGGUUGAAUUCUGCGAGCACGGCCAGACUUGGGACCGGGAGAGGUGUGGGGUACUCUCAGGGUAGGGGUAAAAUCCUGUCAUCCUGAGAGGACCACCUGUUGCGAAGGCGCCACACUAGAACGGAUCCGACGGUCAGGGACGAAACCUAGGGGCACGAACCGG
rnacentral:rRNA from 1 species